ACGGGUGAGUAACACGUGAGUAACCUGCCCCCUUCUUCGGGAUAACGGUCUGAAAGGGCUGCUAAUACCGGGUAUUCACUGGUCCUCGCAUGGGGUCUGGUGGAAAGGGUUUUUCUGGUGGGGGAUGGGCUCGCGGCCUAUCAGCUUGUUGGUGGGGUGAUGGCCCACCAAGGCUUUGACGGGUAGCCGGCCUGAGAGGGUGACCGGUCACAUUGGGACUGAGAUACGGCCCAGACUCCUACGGGAGGCAGCAGUGGGGAAUAUUGCACAAUGGGCGCAAGCCUGAUGCAGCGACGCCGCGUGAGGGAUGGAGGCCUUCGGGUUGUGAACCUCUUUCGCCCGUGGUCAAGCCGCGACGUGGGUCGUGGUGAGGGUAGUGGGUAAAGAAGCGCCGGCUAACUACGUGCCAGCAGCCGCGGUAAUACGUAGGGCGCGAGCGUUGUCCGGAAUUAUUGGGCGUAAAGGGCUUGUAGGCGGCUGGUCGCGUCUGCCGUGAAAUCCUCUGGCUCAACUGGGGGCGUGCGGUGGGUACGGGCUGGCUUGAGUGCGGUAGGGGAGGCUGGAACUCCUGGUGUAGCGGUGGAAUGCGCAGAUAUCAGGAAGAACACCGGUGGCGAAGGCGGGUCUCUGGGCCGUUACUGACGCUGAGGAGCGAAAGCGUGGGGAGCGAACAGGAUUAGAUACCCUGGUAGUCCACGCUGUAAAC
rnacentral:rRNA from 1 species